rnacentral:rRNA from 1 species
GAUGAACGCUGGCGGCGUGCCUAAUACAUGCAAGUCGAGCGAACGGACGAGACGUUUGCUUCUCUGUUGUUAGCCGCGGGCGGGUGUGUCACAUGUGGAUCCCCUACCUAUCUGUCUGGGAUAACUUCGGGAAACCGGCGCUAAUCCCGGAUAAUCUUUUGCUCCGUAUGGUUCAAUAGUGAAAGUCGGUCUUGCUGUCUCUUAUCGCUGGAUCCGCGCUGCAUUAGCUAGUUGGUAAGGUAAAGGCUUACCAAGGCUACGAUGCAUAACCGACCUGCGGGGGGGAUCGGCCACACUGGAACUGAGACACCGUCCAGACUACUACGGGAGGCAGCAGUAGGGAACCUGACGCAAUGGGCGAAAGCCUGGCGGAGCAACGCCGCGUGAGUGAUGAAGGUCUUCGGAUCGUAAAACUCUGUUAUGAGGGAAGAACAUAUGUGGAAGUAACUGUGCACAGCUUGACGGUACCUAAUCAGAAAGCCACGGCUAACUACGUG